UGACCCCCGAAACUAAGCGAGCUACUUCAAAACAGCCUUAAGGGGCCAACCCGUCUCUGUUGCAAAAGAGUGGGAAGAUUUUCAAGUAGAGGUGAUAGACCUACCGAGCUUAGAGAUAGCUGGUUAUUUAGGAAAAGGAUCUAAGUCCUACCUUAAGUUCUACAGUAACUACUAUUACAUCAAUGAACCUAAGAGCUAUUCAAAUAAGGUACAGCCUAUUUGAAACAGGAUACAACCUAAACCACAGGGUAAUGUAAUCUAUACUGUGAUCAAGUGGGCCUAAGAGCAGCCAUCUUUCAAAAAGCGUUAAAGCUUAAUCACUAAUUUAUUUAAAUUCCAAUAAUUUAUCAAAACCCUUUCUCAGUACUAAAUGACUCCAUAAUUUUAUGGAAAACCAUAUGCUAGAACUAGUAACAAGAAGAAGACCUUCUCCAAAAUACAAGUGUGAGCCGAAAUGAACAAUUCAUCGGCAUUUAACGUAAAUGAACCCAAAGUAGCAACCAAACAAGAAAACCCUACUCAUUUCUACGUCAACCUUACACCAGUAUAUUUCUGGAAAGAUUAAAAGAAGAGGAAGGAACUCGGCAAAUUAUUAACUCCGCCUGUUUACCAAAAACAUCGCCUCUUGAUAAAAUAUAAGAGGUCCAGCCUGCCCAGUGACAAAGUUAAACGGCCGCGGUACCCUAACCGUGCGAAGGUAGCGCAAUCACUUGUUCUUUAAAUAAGGACUAGUAUGAACGGCAUCACGAGAGUUAUACUGUCUCCCUCUUUCAAUCAGUGAAACUGACCUCCCCGUGAAGAGGCGGGGAUAUAAAUAUAAGACGAGAAGACCCCAUGGAGCUUUAAACUCAGUAUCAAUUACCUUAUUACACACCAUUUUAACCCGGUAAAUCUGACUACUAGUUUUCGGUUGGGGUGACCGCGGAGUAAAACAAAACCUCCACGAUGAAAGGACCAAUCCUCCUAAUCAAAGAGCUACAGCUCAAAGAAUCAACAAAUUGACAUAAUUGAUCCAAUUAAUUUUGAUCAACGAACCAAGUUACCCUGGGGAUAACAGCGCAAUCCACUUCAAGAGCUCCUAUCGACAAGUGGGUUUACGACCUCGAUGUUGGAUCAGGGUGUCCCAGUGGUGCAGCCGCUACUAAAGGUUCGU
rnacentral:rRNA from 1 species